rnacentral:rRNA from 1 species
GACGAACGCUGGCGGCGUGCUUAACACAUGCAAGUCGAACGGAAAGGCCCUGCUUUUGUGGGGUGCUCGAGUGGCGAACGGGUGAGUAACACGUGAGUAACCUGCCCUUGACUUUGGGAUAACUUCAGGAAACUGGGGCUAAUACCGGAUAGGAGCUCCUGCUGCAUGGUGGGGGUUGGAAAGUUUCGGCGGUUGGGGAUGGACUCGCGGCUUAUCAGCUUGUUGGUGGGGUAGUGGCUUACCAAGUCUUUGACGGGUAGCCGGCCUGGGAGCUGGACCGGGGUCAUUGGGCCUGCGGGAGGGAGCAGAGGGGUAUGGUGGGCAGAAGGGGCGAGUAUUGUCCAGCCGGCGCGCGUCGGUGGCGGAGGCGUUGCGGUCGUAAUGACGUCCUGUUGGGAGAGAACCGCAGCCGGCUGAGACGAAGCGGUUGUGACGGUAAUGAGUGAAGAAGCACCGGCUAACUACGUG